GCCUCUGUAGCUCAACGGAUAGAGCAAUCCCGUCCUAAGGGAGAGAUGAGGGUUCAAUUCCUUCCAGGGGCACCA
rnacentral:tRNA from 1 species